rnacentral:rRNA from 1 species
AGGCAGCAGUGAGGAUAUUGGUCAAUGGACGAGAGUCUGAACCAGCCAAGUAGCGUGAAGGAUGACUGCCCUAUGGGUUGUAAACUUCUUUUAUACGGGAAUAAAGUKAGSCACGYGUGSCUUUUUGUAUGUACCGUAUGAAUAAGGAUCGGCUAACUCCGUGCCAGCAGCCGCGGUAAUACGGAGGAUCCGAGCGUUAUCCGGAUUUAUUGGGUUUAAAGGGAGCGUAGGCGGAYKSUUAAGUCAGUUGUGAAAGUUUGCGGCUCAACCGUAAAAUUGCAGUUGAUACUGGSKRYCUUGAGURCARYAGAGGYAGGCGGAAUUCGUGGUGUAGCGGUGAAAUGCUUAGAUAUCACGA